GGCGGUUUAGAGUAAUUGGAGAACUCGCUAGGCUUAAUGUCUGAUGUUGAAGGUUCGAAUCCUUCUACUGCUA
rnacentral:tRNA from 1 species